rnacentral:rRNA from 1 species
GAUGAACGCUGGCGGCGUGCCUAAUACAUGCAAGUCGAGCGAACGGACGAGAAGCUUGCUUCUCUGAUGUUAGCGGCGGACGGGUGAGUAACACGUGGAUAACCUACCUAUAAGACUGGGAUAACUUCGGGAAACCGGAGCUAAUACCGGAUAAUAUUUUGAACCGCAUGGUUCAAAAGUAAAAGACGGUCUUGCUGUCACUUAUAGAUGGAUCCGCGCUGCAUUAGCUAGUUGGUAAGGUAACGGCUUACCAAGGCAACGAUGCAUAGCCGACCUGAGAGGGUGAUCGGCCACACUGGAACUGAGACACGGUCCAGACGCCUACGGGAGGCAGCAGUAGGGAAUCUUCCGCAAUGGGCGAAAGCCUGACGGAGCAACGCCGCGUGAGUGAUGAAGGUCUUCGGAUCGUAAAACUCUGUUAUUAGGGAAGAACCUAUGUGUAAGUAACUGUGCACAUCUUGACGGUACCUAAUCAGAAAGCCACGGCUAACUACGUG